UAGUCGCUGUUGUUCUAUACUCUUCUUCGUAUACAUUUAUUAAAUGAAAUCGAAACCAUACAAUAACAAUGUGAAUUUAUUACACACUACUUAUUCAAGCUGACAUCGUCUUACUAUAAGUUUAUUUAUUUUCAAUAAGCGGCUAUACGUACUAUUAUUUCGCUUAAGAACAAAGCACGAAGUGACGCACGACGACGAUGAUGAUCAUCGACUCAACAAUGAGGAAGCUUCUACUAACUAUGAGUAUAUACUCGUAUGAAAAGAGUACGAGAACAUCACCAAUAAGAUUUAGCAGUGGCGGUGCGGUGGGUCGGGAAGUGUUUUGAGAAAAUAUAAUAGUUGAUGCUUUCUGCCGAUGCGAUGUCGUGUCGUUGUCGUCGUUGUGUUGAUUGUACAUAGCUAUGGCACUUUUACGGAUAUUUUUCGCUUAUCGAUUGUAGAUUGUUAUAAUAAUCGUAUAAAAUUUCAUGGCCGAGUUGAAGCUCCACAUAAGUGAUUUUAUGAGUAAACAGAGUGUUGAUUAUGAAUUUUUUUUUGUUGCGGAAAUUGUUUUGAACGCUCAAACUAAAAAAGUAAGACGCUUAUGAUGUAAACACUCACUUAACGCCAUGUUUACGAUGUAAUACACAAAAAAGGUGCUUGAGGAGAAACAAAAGGAAUGCAAAAGUUAAACUGUCCUUUUGAAAAGUCUAGCUAGAUUCAUGAAAAAGUUGGAAAGCACCUUUAUAUCUGCGUUGCACUGUUUAUUUUUUAAGAUUUCUGAGAAUUUUUUUCAGACGAAUUGACAUACCAGGAAAACGAAAUAUAAAAAAUCACCUGGCUAUCACGUUAGAUUUGAAUGACUUUUUAUCCUUCUUGAAAUGUACAAUAGCGAAUUCUUGAGAAAUCAAAUCAUAAACAUUUUGUUUAUAUUUCUCAGAAUUUGAAAAUCUCUGAGGUUUUAAAAAUAUAAACUGGCCAAUCAUCACACUAUACAACUGAGUACAACCAAAUGUCAAAUUGAAAAAUGUAUUGUCAAAUUUGUGUGAAGGUUUUAUAGCUUAUCCUUAAAAUGUCAUGACAAAUUGUAUAUAAAUGUAAGGCUAUCCAACUUUAUUUUAGAAUAAACAAAAACACUGUAUAUUAU